rnacentral:lncRNA from 1 species
GCUAGGAGAUUCUCAGCUUGCCCUGACAUAGCUUCCCGGCUAUUUUUCCUGGAAUGGGACCAAAGCUCUUCAGGAUUUGAGGCCCUCUGAAGAUUAUCGGCUCUAAAGAAGAAACCUGGGAAAUCUCAGUGGCAGGAAUUCUCCAGGGCAGAGCGGGGAGGCCUCUUUCUGCGAGAUUUAGCUCUUUCACCGUGGAAGGUGUCUGCUCAGUGUGGAGCACACUCGGAACCCCUCUUACCUGGGCUUCUGGCUGAACUUGCAUUUGCAUUUCCCACCUGUUGGGGGAGAAAGGAUGGUUGGGGGAGGGACCCACAGCCCUGCGCUGCCAGCUCAGCCACCAGUAUCCCCACUCACUCAUGAGGACGAUGAUGCCGACGGUGCACAGAACGGCGUUUUCCGCCGAUCCGGAGUCUGUGCCAGUCUAGGAGAAAGCCAGACAAGGCCAUCAAUGCCUGCCUGCGUCCUCCCCGUCCAAACCCCCAUCUAUUCAACAGCAGUUGAUUUGAACCGUAACAACGGCUUUUUGUGAACUGUCCUGGCUUCCCGUGUGCGCCUGUCGUGCCGGAAGAGAAGCUUCCCAGGAACCAGACCGGCGUGGCUUGUUCCUUCAUUCGGCUGUGAUGACUGUUCAGUGUCUCCCCCUCCUUGCCCCUUCCUAUCCUGGCCCCUGUUUCGCGCACAUCGGACCCCCACCCAAGCUGUGUGGGACCCCUGACACAAAAUGGUGGGAGGGGGUGUAGGAGGGGGACAGCCAGGAGAGGGGCACAAGCUCUCACCAUAGUAGAAAGGGCUGUUUUUAUCUGCAAGGAAAGAAAAAAAAGAACGUGAAUCCAGGACAACAGCCAGGAGGCAAGGGUUCUGGGGGAGAAUUUGGGGGUGAGCCUGGUGGAGGAGACUGACUCACCUUCUGGGUCGUUGGCGUCCAAGGCAGGCAGGCCUGCUGGGAGAAGCGAAAAGGAGAGGGGUUGGCGUGCUGGCCUCGGCAAAGCUGGCAGACAGGGCCACAGACCCUUAGGGGCCCCGAUGGACAGGUCCCCGCCUCCUGAGGGCACAGGGAUCCAUCCGGUGCCAAGCCUGGAGGUGUGGACUCCCCCCCACCCCCGCCACCCCACACCUGUGAGCCCCAUAGGCCCUCAUUUUGCCUCCCGGAACAGGUUUUAAUCUGGGUGGCUGGGGGCCACCCUUUGGCCUGAUGUUUCCAGACACCAGGCUAAUCCUCCCUCCUGCAGAAACCAAGCAACAUUCUCGUCAAGAUGACAGAUGGUCCAGUUCCCAGUCAUUCGCAGAGCCCCGUCCACACCCCACCCGUUCUGGUGUUUGCUCGCCGCUUCCUUUUAGAGCAAAUUACUAAUUAUAAACUUAAUACACUUUCUUUGAAAACGCAG